rnacentral:misc_RNA from 1 species
GAGAGAGAGAGAGAGAGAGUGAUCAUGUCUCUUGCCUAUUGUGUCAAGGAGCAGAAACCUUGUGUGCAUUGGGUUGACAAGUACUUCAAGGAUUGCCUUUGUAAUCUAAAAGAUGAAUUCUCUUUUGCUUUUGGGCUCAUUAGUCUAGUUUGUUGGGGAGUUGCAGAAAUCCCUCAAAUCAUCACCAACUUCCGCACAAAGUCUAGCCAUGGAGUCUCCCUUCUUUUUCUCCUCACUUGGGUUGCUGGGGAUGUUUUUAAUCUUGUGGGCUGCCUUCUGGAGCCAGCGACGGUGAGUGUGCGUCAUGCAAGGGAAGUCAUGUGAGAGCCAUAGAAAAAAAGGGAAUUUAUGGCCCAUACAAUGGCCUCAUAUUGGCUGCCUGGCUGUUACGCAAAUAUUUAUCUGUUAAAGUUGCAUGUCUGCUUAUGUAUUACAUUUUUAUAUAAUAACUUAUCUCAUCAUCUGAUAUUGUUUUCUUGCUUUUUAUAUCUUGUGGAUAUGCAGCUGCCCACCCAGUUCUACACUGCCCUGGUAAGUGCAGUUUGCUGGUUGGCCAGGUUUGCGUAUAUCUAUAUUUUCACUCCAUUUACAAAAUGAGCCCCUCAAUAUUCUCAUAAUUGCAACUUUGUUAAUGCUGGCUUUUUCUGGGCUGGAAUCAUAGCCCAAUUUAUGGAAGAUACACUUGUGAUUUCAAGAGUUUCCUUUGCUAAUCCCUUCUUUUCAAUGGCAAAAUUACAAAGCAGAAAGAUAAUUAAGUGCUCAAUUAUUAAUAUUUCAGAAAAGAAUUCGUUAAUAUUACCUGAGAUAGGAAAGCACAGAAAGCACUCAGUUACUACCACACGGUUCUGUGGUCCCAAAUAACCACGGUUGUCCCAACCAAAGUUUGUUUUCCAUGUAGUAAAUGAUUUUGUCCAGGCUUCCAUAACUUGUGUUUCAGCUACAGUGCCAGCUACCUCGCUAUCUCUUAACUAUAGCUUUUUGUGUUCUAUUCCUGUACACAUAGCACAGAAACUUCCCAUUAUAUAUUUGUGUGUAACUCUGUGCAUCUUUAAUUUACAGCUCUAUACUACAAGCACUGUAGUAUUAGUGUUACAGGGUUUCUACUAUGAUCACAUCUACAGGCGGUGGGAAUGGCAGAGAGCUGAUGCUGACCAACAGGUUGAAGAUGAAAAAAAACCACUGAAACCCAAGUUAGCUGAUUCGGCCAUUCCCAUACCCAAUGCCUCACCUAGAGCAACUCCUCGUAGGGAGUAUUACUACACUUCAGCUAGAUCUAUGGCAAGCAGUGGUACUCCGCCAUUUCGAGGUUACCUUGGAAAUGCCAGAAGCGGUCCUUCAGCAAUGGUACUCGACAACGAAUCAUCCUCAGAUGAUGAUGCAGCCCCUGUUUCAGCUAAAUCAGUUAGCCAGCCUAGGCCAAUUCCAAGAUCGGCUGGUUAUGGAACAUUUCUAGCCACAUCAGUCAACCUGCCCCUAAAAAGUAAGGCUUUGACAGAUGCCUACAUUGGAUUUAAUGGUAGAAGACUUUUACAUGAAGGAAGUGGAACGGACCACAAUGCUUUUGGACAGUGGCUGGGAUGGCUUAUGGCUGCUAUAUAUAUGGGUGGCCGAAUCCCUCAAAUCUGGUUAAAUGUAAAACUUGAUUAAUACUCAAGUAAAUAUAAUAUUAGUUUCUUUAAUUAAUUUCUAAUGCAAGUUAGUGAUUUUUUUUUGCCAGAUUAAAAGAGGAAGUGUGGAGGUGAAGCUCCAAUACAUAUUCUCUUACUUCUUGACUACUUUUCUCUGUUUUUCUUCAAACACGUUUGUGGGAUAUAUAUCUUGAUUAAGUUGAGAUUAAACUCGACAUUAAUCAUGCAGGGCUUAAAUCCUCUGAUGUUCAUCUUCGCACUAGUGGCAAAUCUCACUUAUGUGCUAAGGUUCAGCUCUUUUUUUGUCACAUAAACAUAUUUGCUCACAUGCAUAUUGCUUGUACUCACAAACUUAUCUACAUGAGUGCAGUAUUCUUGUUAGAACCACAGAAUGGGAUAAAAUCAAAGCUAAUAUGCCAUGGUUGCUAGAUGCUAUAGUCUGCGUGGCACUCGACUUAUUUGUAUCCUUGCCUUAAUAUUUUAUUGGGUAAAACUUACUGAGACCUAUUCCAUUAUGGAUUUAAGACACAAACACGUGAGUCCCAUUUAUUUUACAUGUAAAUCUCAUCAUAUAGUCUUGAAUCCAUGAUGGACAGAAAUUGGCAAGAAUUUCCCAUUUUCUUGCUGAAUGCUUACUCUUUUUCUUUCUUGUCUUUUCCCUUUACUUUUGUUAUUAUUUUUUUAUAGCAUAUCUUUCUACGCCUUAACAAUAAUUUUUACAGAUCAUAUUGCAGUACAUAUAUUACAGAUACAUCCAUCAAGAAAAGAUUAGCCAUGAAGAAGAUUAUGGAGACUACUUGGAUUCAAAUAAAGCUUCUUUAUCUUAAGUCGGUUAAUGUAAUUUGCAGAUUCAUGCUUCAGAGUGGAACUUUAAUUAGAGAUCCUUUCAAAUAUUUGAACUAGCAAGGGCUAUCUGUUAUUGGGAUUGCAUUUGUUAAUUAACUAGUUAAUUAUCAGUAUCAGUUAUGAGCUAUGAGCUAUGAGAUGAGCUACAAAGGAAUACAUGUUAUAGGUCAAGAGUUAGUGAGAUAGCGAUUGGUAAUGGUAAUGAUAUAAUUUUUAUUUUAAUAUUUGAUUUAUUUACAAUGUUAAUAAUAAAUGGUAAUCAUUACUGUGAUUGAUUGUUGAGUGAUGGUGGUGGUUAAGUGGUGUUAGAGGCGACAA